CCGAGUAGAGGAUGAAGCGGCUCCUGGAUGGAGGCAGAGGCUUCCUGGAUCUUCAAGUUCUGUAUGGGUUGUUGUAUGAGUUCUUAGUUCAAGACACCAAGAGCCUGGACACCCUCCACUGGUAACAAAAGUAACUGGUGUUUUUGCCAUUAGAAGUAAUGGCACAGAACAAGUACAUGAGAGCGAUUUCUUAUGGAAAAUUAAAUGGCGCAUAAGUCGUGUGCUCAGGUGCAAGUAGCUGGGCCAGAAGGACCUCGGCACGUUACGGAAUAUUUACUACAGGAACAGGUGAGCUGAAGGCGAAUUCCCCAGGUGUAGCCUGUGACCAUAGAUUCAGACAAAGCCCUGACUGUUGCCUGGAAUUCAAAAAAGCUGUAGCCCUACCAGAUAGAAUAAGAAAAGAAUAUAGGAUUCUUCCUAUUCAAAUAGGUUGCAUAUAAUUAAGAGCAUGAACGAUCCAAUGGAAUGAACUCAAAGUAGUUUUUGAGUGUAAUAGACUUGAAGUGUCUUAUGGAAAAGAAUUGCAAAACCACAGAAACAGUGAAGAAGGUUAGUUAUAGCCUUGAUGGGGUAGCUGACUUCAGCAGUCUCAGCUAUCUGAAAAGUUAUUUACCAGAUUUUGGUUGGGAACAUAAUCCCUAAAUCAUUUGAGAUAAUGUACUUGUUUCCUUACUGGGUAAAUGUGUUUAAACCUUGAGAAAAUGUAGACAUAAGUAGAAUAUAGAAUAAAUUAAACCUUUGGUAGUUAUGUUUUAGGAUUAAGGACUAAUAAGUACAUAUUUGAUAUUUAAGCAUUUGUAAUGCUUGAGAUAAUUUAUCCUACUCAAGUAACAGAUUACUCUUGUGACUCCAAUGUAAAAUAUAUCAUUGAAAAAUUAGUAUCUGCUUGUGAUUUUUAAGUAGAAACCCUGCCAUUUGAAAGGUAUUUGCCUUUAUUAUUGGAGAUAUUUCAUAUGAAUGUUUAACUUUGUUAUUGCAUAGAAGUAUUUAAACAGAUUUCACUUGCAAGAGAAAGAUAUCUAAUAGGUUACUCUUAAUCAGUACUAAAUUACUACAAUUACUAUAUUCUAUUAAUAUCGAUUCAUUAAAACCCAGAGCUUUAAUUAUGUCUCAGAAAAUUAAUUAAACUUUAGCCUCAUAAUCAGCUUUAUUUUCUAACUCAAUGUUUAAAAAUUGACAAGUAUGUAUUAUACUUAUUUAUGUCUUCAUUCAGUAAACAUUUGCAUUUGUAGCAUGCAAGACAACAUGCUAGACACACGAAAGAUGGAAUAAAUGGAAGAAAAUGCAACACAGAUCUCAUGCUUAAGAGGGACAGAUUUACUCUGAAGAUUCAAUGAAAAAACAUCCACAAACAACUUUUCUACAAGAAACAAAACAUUUUAAAGAAAACAUUUACUUCAGCCGGGCGC
rnacentral:lncRNA from 1 species